UACGUAGGUGGCAAGCGUUGUCCGGAUUUACUGGGCGUAAAGAGCGCGUAGGCGGUCGGCCAAGUCGAGUGUGAAAGCCCCCGGCUCAACUGGGGAGGGUCAUUCGAUACUGGUCGACUCGAAGGCGGGAGAGGGAAGUGGAAUUCCCGGUGUAGUGGUGAAAUGCGUAGAUAUCGGGAGGAACACCAGUGGCGAAGGCGACUUCCUGGCCCGUUCUUGACGCUCAUGCGCGAAAGCUAGGGGAGCAAACGGG
rnacentral:rRNA from 1 species